GGCGGCGUGGCCCAAUGGAUAGGGCGUCUGACUUCGGAUCAGAAGGUUGUGGGUUCGAGUCCCAUCGUCGUCA
rfam:Eimeria necatrix Houghton genomic scaffold, Enh_scaff291